rnacentral:rRNA from 1 species
UACAGGGGGGGCAAGCGUUGUUCGGAAUUACUGGGCGUAAAGGGCUCGUAGGCGGCCAACUAAGUCCGACGUGAAAUCCCAAAGCUUAACUUUGGAACUGCGUCGGAUACUGGAUGGCUUGAAUUCGGGAGAGGGAUGCAGAAUUCCAGGUGUAGCGGUGAAAUGGCAGAUAUUCGGCGGAACACCAGUGGCGAAGGCGGCCAACUGGGCCAAUCCUGACGCUGAGACGCGAAAGCCAGGGUAGCGAACCGG